UACAGCCACACUGCUCUGGCUGCCCCUGAUCUGAUCUGGUCUCUGAAGCUAAGCUGAGCCGGGCCUGGUUGUUACCUGGGCUAGGCUGGAG
rnacentral:rRNA from 1 species